rnacentral:lncRNA from 1 species
CCGUGCUGUUGUUAGUAACCAGUUUACCAGUUGGCGUUUAACUUGGUUUAGUCCGUCUUUUUGUAUCUCUGUGAUGCCAAGUAGUUUCAUUGAGUUGGUCAGCUGUAACUUCUGUUCACUAAUAGUGGUGUUUUCCUGGUGGUAUGGUCGUAGACGUUGGAUGUUUCUAAAAUAUUGCUUUUAUAGGUAACUAUUUGCAAAUGUCGCGAAAUACUUUUACACAUUCUGCGGGCUGAAUCUGAAAUGCGAUUUCCGAGCUAUAUAUCGACUGGCAAAAAUGAAAGUCUACAACACGAAGUAUUCCCAGGCGGUCACCCAUCCAAGUACUAACUUCGCCCGACCAGGCUUAACUUCGGUGAUCAGACGAGAACCGGUUUUUUUUUUUGUUUUUUUUUUCUUAAUAACUUUAUUUACAUUUGUACAAUUUGUUUGAUUUAUAAUCUAGUUUAUGUUUAGUUUUUCCGUGUUUUCAUUUGUGUUUUCCUGGUGGUAUGGUCGUAGACGUUGGAUGUUUCUAAAAUAUUGCUUUUAUAGGUAACGAUUUGCAAAUGUCGCGAAAUACUUUUACACAUUCUGCGGGCUGAAUCUGAAAUGCGAUUUCCGAGCUAUAUAUCGAC